rnacentral:misc_RNA from 1 species
UGUGGGAGCUGGCUUGCCUGCGAUAGCGAUCUGUCAGUUGCCAUCUUCAUUGGCUGAUGCACCGUUAUCGCAGGCAAGCCAGCUCCCACA